rnacentral:rRNA from 1 species
GACGAACGCUGGCGGCGUGCCUAAUACAUGCAAGUCGAGCGAAUGGAUUAAGAGCUUGCUCUUAUGAAGUUAGCGGCGGACGGGUGAGUUACACGUGGGUAACCUGCCCAUAAGACUGGGAUAACUCCGGGAAACCGGGGCUAAUACCGGAUAACAUUUUGAACCGCAUGGUUCGAAAUUGAAAGGCGGCUUCGGCUGUCACUUAUGGAUGGACCCGCGUCGCAUUAGCUAGUUGGUGAGGUAACGGCUCACCAAGGCAACGAUGCGUAGCCGACCUGAGAGGGUGAUCGGCCACACUGGGACUGAGACCCGGCCCAGACGGCGACGGGAGGCAGCAGUAGGGAAUCUUCCGCAAUGGACGAAAGUCUGACGGAGCAACGCCGCGUGAGUGAUGAAGGCUUUCGAGUCGUAAAACUCGGUUGUUAGGGAAGAACAAGUGCUAGUUGAAUAAGCUGGCACCUUGACGGUACCUAACCAGAAAGCCACGGCUAACUACGUGCCAGCCGCCGCAGUAA